AAAAAGACUUCCUCCUCACUAAAAGGGAGGGGAGGAAAGAGAGAACAUACAACGAAGAACAAAUAUCUCCCUGUCCUUAUUUUCAAAGUGCAGCACAAGAAGAUUAGAAAUUCGUCGGUACUCAGAGAAGCCCAGCCUAAGAGAAGCUUUGGGUGCAGCAUCCUUGCUCAUGUCCUCAGAAUGGCUGCCGAUCCCAUUCACAAGGCCAUUGACCCCAGCUGGAGCUUCUGCUUCACCUGUUUGGACACAUGACCAAGUUUAACUCUAACACCUUUUAACUGUCUAAUCAUCUGAGCCACUAGGAAGUGUUGCACGGACCAAUUAGGCAAGUGGAGCCCACAAGGAGGCUAAAGAGAGCUAAGAUUCCUAGACCUGGUGAGAAGAAAAAUAGGUGGGAGACUGAAGAAAAGCAUAUACACAAACAAGACUCACCCGUGGAUUUGUCGGUGCAACAUAACAUGCUAGAAAGACCAGUUUGUAGGACAGCUCUCUGACUCCAAGGGCACGAAGUCCCCGGAUUCCUUCGGUUUCGUAGCCCUCCGUCCCACUAACCCGUGAGCCAG